GCUGCUUUACACUUGCAAGUCGAACGGUAACAGGGAGCUUGCUCCGCUGACGAGUGGCGAACGGGUGAGUAAUGCAUCGGAACGUGCCGUGUAGUGGGGGAUAACGUAGCGAAAGUUACGCUAAUACCGCAUACGCCCUGAGGGGGAAAGUGGGGGACCGCAAGGCCUCACGCUAUACGAGCGGCCGAUGUCGGAUUAGCUAGUUGGUAGGGUAAAGGCCUACCAAGGCGACGAUCCGUAGCGGGUCUGAGAGGAUGAUCCGCCACACUGGGACUGAGACACGGCCCAGACUCCUACGGGAGGCAGCAGUGGGGAAUUUUGGACAAUGGGCGCAAGCCUGAUCCAGCCAUGCCGCGUGAGUGAAGAAGGCCUUCGGGUUGUAAAGCUCUUUCAGACGGAAAGAAAUCGGUGCGUUUAAUACAUGCACUGGAUGACGGUACCGUAAGAAGAAGCACCGGCUAACUACGUGCCAGCAGCCGCGGUAUACGUAGGGUGCGAGCGUUAUUCGGAUUACUGGCGUAAAGCGUGCGCAGGCGGUUU
rnacentral:rRNA from 1 species